GAUCUUGCGCAAUGGCCGAAAGGCUGACGCAGCGACGCCGCGUGCGGGAGGACGCCCCUCGGGGUGUAAACCGCCGUCAGGGGGGACGAACCCCCCGCAUGGGUAUACUGUGCUGGGCUGACGGUUCCCCCUGGGGAAGCGCCGGCGAACCCAGUUCCAUCAGCCGCGGUAAGACGGAGGGCGCGAGCGUUGUUCGGAAUUAACGGGCGUAAAGGGCGCGCAGGCGGACGGGCAAGUCGGAAGUGAAAUCCCGGGGCUCAACUCCGGGACUGCUUCCGAUACUGCUUGUCUAGGGACCGGUAGAGGCUGGUGGAAUUCCCGGUGUAGCGGUGGAAUGCGUAGAUAUCGGGAAGAACACCCGUGGCGAAGGCGGCCAGCUGGGCCGGAUCCGACGCUGAGGCGCGAAAGCGUGGGGAGCAAAC
rnacentral:rRNA from 1 species